AACAAACGCUGGCGGCGUGCCUAAUACAUGCAAGACGAACGGUAAGUUGAGUAGCAAUACUUAGCCAAGAGUGUCGUACGGGUGCGUAACACGUAUGCAACCUACCCUAUACAGGAGGAUAGCCUAGGGAAACCUGGAUUAACCCUUCAUAGUAUUAUUGGAUGGCAUCAUUUGAUAAUUAAAACUGAGGUGGUAUAGGAUGGGCAUGCGUCUGAUUAGUUAGUUGGCGGGUAAUGGCCCACCAAGACGAUGAUCAGUAGGGGUUCUGAGAGGAAGAUCCCCCACACUGGCACUGAGAUACGGGCCAGACUCCUACGGGAGGCAGCAGUAGGGAAUAUUGGUCAAUGGAU
rnacentral:rRNA from 1 species